rnacentral:lncRNA from 1 species
AGGUUAAAGGCAGCUUUUUAUCAGCAUGGAGGAGAGUCAGCACUUUUCUCAGCCAUAGGCUUAUGGCAAAAGCCAGUGCCUUCUCUUUCCUUUGCUUCUUAAUGUGCUUUUGCUUAGGGUAUGUACUGUGAUCGGGACAAUACCCUACUGUUCCCCAUCUAACUGUCCUUGCAGGCAGCUAAAGCCUAGUAGGAUAGGGCUGCAGAUGUGGCUUAGAUUGUGAUCUGCAUGCAAAUCAGUUGAUAAAGAUUCAUUUUGCUUUGCACUCUCAUGAAUCACCAUCCUAAUUCCUGAACAAUGUUGAUUUGCUAGCACUAUGUGAUCCAGUAAGUUACCUGAACAUGGAUGCUAUUCUCCAGGUGGGCAUAAUUCAGCAUCUUGUCUGGAUCCAGUACCCCUGCGGUAGGAAACAAGCGGCGGUAACAUCGUUACCGCUGAAAGAGACGAGUGGGUGGGUGCUCGCUGCACAAUGUGCGCAGUCAAAACCUCGGGGAAUUUUAUGUCACUGCCCCGGUCUGGAUCUACUACCAGUUGUCGGCGACGAAGAUUUUUCUUAUUGCUGCGUCUAGGGGCUAGCCUGGCAUUGCUGGACGUUUCCUGAUCAAGAAGUAAUGUGCAGUUGCAGCAAAGUGUAGUUCCGCCAUGUGCACCAAUGCCGCAUCAUACCGACAACCCGCUUUCGCCAUUCCUCUGCGCAACUGGGAGCUGCUCGUCUCUCGGCGUCGCCAAUUUCCAUUAUCAAGGGAGAUGGAUGAGACAGGGAGCUUUCAUACUAGGUGAUCACUCCACUAACAACUCACCAUCCUGCUUUCCUCUGGAUUGGAUCGGACGGGACAGAACCGCCUUUUCUGCACAACUGAAUAGCUCUGCACCCUUACCAU